GACGAACGCUGGCGGCGUGCUUAACACAUGCAAGUCGAACGGAAAGGCCCUGCUUUUGUGGGGUUCUCGAGUGGCGAACGGGUGAGUAACACGUGAGUAACCUGCCCUUGACUUUGGGGUAACUUCAGGAAACUGGGGCUAAUACCGGAUAGGAGCUCCUGCUGCAUGGGGGGGGUUGGAAAGUUUCGGCGGUUGGGGAUGGAAUCGCGGCUUAUCAGCUUGAUGGUGGGGUAGUGGCGUACCAAGGCUUCGACGGGUAGCCGGCCUGAGAGGGUGGCCGGCCACAUUGGGACUGAGAUACGGCCCAGAUUCCUACGGGAGGCAGCGGGCGGGAAUAUUGCACAAUGGGCGGAAGCCUGAUGCGGCGACGCCGCGUGCGGGAUGACGGCCUACGGGUUGUAAACCGCUUUCGCCUGUGACGAAGCGUGAGUGACGGUAAUGGGUAAAGAAGCACCGGCUAACUACGUG
rnacentral:rRNA from 1 species